rnacentral:rRNA from 1 species
CCUACGGGGGGCAGCAGUAGGGAAUCUUCGGCAAUGGACGAAAGUCUGACCGAGCAACGCCGCGUGAGUGAAGAAGGUUUUCGGAUCGUAAAACUCUGUUGUUAGAGAAGAACAAGGAUGAGAGUAACUGUUCAUCCCUUGACGGUAUCUAACCAGAAAGCCACGGCUAACUACGUGCCAGCAGCCGCGGUAAUACGUAGGUGGCAAGCGUUGUCCGGAUUUAUUGGGCGUAAAGCGAGCGCAGGCGGUUUCUUAAGUCUGAGGUGAAAGCCCCCGGCUCAACCGGGGAGGGUCAUUGGAAACUGGGAGACUUGAGUGCAGAAGAGGAGAGUGGAAUUCCAUGUGUAGCGGUGAAAUGCGUAGAUAUAUGGAGGAACACCAGUGGCGAAGGCGGCUCUCUGGUCUGUAACUGACGCUGAGGCUCGAAAGCGUGGGGAGCAAACAGGAUUAGAUACCCCUGUAGU